CCAGUCUUCACGCAACAGUCUGAGUGAUCUUUCUAAAACAUAAAUAUGAUCAUGUCUCGGAAGCUAAGCAGGGUCGGGCCUGGUUAGUACUUGGAUGGGAGACCAUCUAGGAAGACCAGGU
rnacentral:rRNA from 1 species